rnacentral:rRNA from 1 species
GACGAACGCUGGCGGCGUGCUUAACACAUGCAAGUCGAACGGAAAGGCCCUGAUUUUGUGGGGUGCUCGAGUGGCGAACGGGUGAGUAACACGUGAGUAACCUGCCCUUGACUUUGGGAUAACUUCAGGAAACUGGGGCUAAUACCGGAUAGGAGCUCCUGCUGCAGGGUGGGGGUUGGAAAGUUUCGGCGGUUGGGGAUGGACUCGCGGCUUAUCAGCUUGUUGGUGGGGUAGUGGCUUACCGAGGCAUUGACGGGUAGCCGGCCUGGGAGGGUGGCCAGCCCCAAGGGUCCUGAGAUACGGCCCAGUCUCGAACGGUGGACAACGGGGGGGAGUCUUGUACAGUGGGCGCGAGCCGGUUACGACGGCGCCGGGGGCGGAAAGACGGCUUGUGGGUUGUAAACAGCUUUAGCCUGAGACGAAGCGUGAGUGACGGUACCGGAUGAAGAAGCACCGGCUAACUACGUG